GUCUACGGCCAUACCACCCUGAACACGCCCGACCUCGUCUGAUCUCAGAAGCUAAGAUUAACAUGGGUUAGAGAAUGAAAGUCAGCAGGAUUAGAGACAGAGGUUAGGAGAAUUCCUGUGGAGG
ensembl:rRNA 5S_rRNA 5S ribosomal RNA